GCCCCAGUAGCUCAGCUGGUAGAGCGACGGUCUCGUAAGCCGUUGGUCAGGGGUUCAAAUCCCCUCUGGGGCU
rnacentral:tRNA from 1 species